UGUAAGUCCAGCGUCCCCUUUGUGA
rnacentral:piRNA from 1 species